rnacentral:rRNA from 1 species
GAUGAACGCUGGCGGCGUGCCUAAUACAUGCAAGUCGAGCGGACGGACGAGAAGCUUGCUUCGCGGAUGUUAGCGGCGGAGGGGUGAGUAACACGUGUAUAACCUACCUAUAAGACUGGGAUAACCUCGGGAAACCGUCGCUAAUCCCGUAGAAUAUUUUGAACCGCAGGGGUGAAUAGUGAAAGACGGUCGUUCUGUCAGUUAUAGAUGGAUCCGCGCUGCAUUGGCUGGCUGGUCAGUUAACGGGUUACCAAGGCAACGAUGCAUAGCCGACCGGAGAGAGGGAUAGCCCACCCUGGAACUGAGCCGCGGUCCAGACUCCUACGGGAGGCCGCAGUAGGGUAUCUUACGCAAUGGGCGAAAGCAUGACGGAACGACGCCGCGUGAGUGACGACGGUCUUCCGAUCGUAAAGCCCUGUUAUGAGGGAAGAACCUCUGUGUACGUAACUGAGCACAUCUUGACGGUAACUAAUAAGAAAGCACCGGCUAACUACGUG